CUAAAUAACAGCUGCUGGAUUUCGAGUAAGUGCCUUACAUUAUUUUAUUCGCCCCCUACAGUCUUCUAAGGUAGAUAUCGUGAUGGUCAUACACAUGAGGAAGCUGCGGUGGCGAGAGGCUAAUGUAGCUACUGCGUCUCGGCUGCCAACUCAGGGUCAGGUGCUGCAGCCCCCGGCUUUAGCCACUGUACUGUCCUAGCAGUGGGUACACAUCUUUCCUGUUGUAAAACUGCUCCAAAGAAGGGUGUUGCGUCACCUGUCCUAGGAACUGGCCCCAGGUGUAAAUAAAAGUAUGCAGAAUGAAGUUACUCUCUGCAGAGUUGAAUGCCACUUCCUUGAGAUGUGCUGUGCUUCGUGGAGGUAAGGAAGCAGUGCUCCCACCCUCCCCCCACCACUAGCUCUGAACGAUCAAUCUUGAGGGGGUAUGUGCGACUGAAACAAAUGAACCUUGCUGAGUCUGUCAGCAUUCCCAGCCCGCCUGUAAUUAAGUCGUGGAGAUGGCCACCGGUCUUGCUAAUGUUUUAGAAGGAAGUGGCUAGGAGAUGGUGUCUGAAUGUUUGGAAGCCCAGAGGAGGGGCUGUAGUCACACUUGGGGACUUCCUGGGUAAGUCGCACUGGGGCUGAGAGCAGAGGACUUGGAGCUGUAUCAGAAACUGGGAGCAAGCGCUGAGAGAGGUGAGCUGAGCAGAUGUUGGAAAAGCACCUCAGGGAAGAGCAGGGAGUGACAACUAAGCUGCUUCACAGUCCAACAUCUGGAGGUUGGUUUGCACGGGGAGCAGGGAUGGCUUGCUGUUGAAAUGGUGGGCUUUGUUUCUGUCGUUGAAGGAAAUAAUUCACAGUGCUACAUAAGGGGGGUAAAGCAAGAUGAGGCAAGGUUCUCGCUCUCAAGUGAGGGGUGCAGGCUGAGAGCCACCUGACUCAAAGAGUCUGGAACUGGGUGCCCGUGGAGAAGGACUCAUUCGUGAAGUAAAAAUAAUUGAAUCAGUUGAGACUCUUUACCCAUAAAUUACCCUGAAGUCACUGGGUAAUUUGUCCCCUGAUAUUUCUGCCAACUAUAAUAAAACAAUAUGCAUUUACCACUGCAAUUGUAACAUGUGAUAGACAUUUGGGGAAAAUGCUUGGUUAUAAAGGUAAUGUUAGGGUCUUAGGAGGAGGAAUUCCUCAGGCAGGGAAGUGUUUCAAAGCUUUGGAGUAUGACCUAUGUUCAAAUCCAGACUUAGACUCCUACUCGUUUUGUUAUUUUAGGGAAAUUACUCAACUUCUCUAAGUCCACAUUUUCUUUUCUAAAAUGUUGGACAAUAAUAACACACAAAGUGCUUUUGUGAGCAUGAGAGAUGUGCCUGUGAAGCACUUCACACCUUGUUUUGGUCCAGGGUAAAUGUUGAGUAAAUGUCAGCAGCUGUCCUCUGUCCUCCAACCUCCCCAUCAGCUGAGCAUGCGGCAGUUGAACCUGGCGCAGAAGCCUAGCCUGGGGGCUGCCCUUAGGGCGUGUUUCAGAAGCCUUUGAGUACUUGCCUAUUGAUGAGUGCAGAAGAUCGGGUGGCUUGGCCUGGAAGCUCAUUCUGUUUUCUUUACCAAUAGCUUUCAUCCUUCUUCCAGAAGUACCGAGGCCAGAAAGUAGACAUAUCAAAAAUAAUAUCUCCUAACGAGGGCUAGGUUUCUUCUCACAGCUUAUGUGAACUUCUGUUCUGUCCAGGAUAGAAUAGUUGAUUUUCUCUUAGAUAGGCUUCUUUUAUCUUCUGUAAAAUGAGGAUACAUUGUAUAUUUUUAGUUUUUUAAAGAUUUUAUUUAUUUAUUUGACAGAGUGAGUGAGAGAGCACGAGCGGGGGAACAGCAGAGGCAGAGGGAGAAGCAGGCUCCCUGCCAAGCAGGGAGCCCGAUGCAGGGCUCAAUCCCAGACCCUGAGAUCAUGACCUGAGCCGAAGGCAGACGCUUAACCAUCUGAGCCACGCAGGCGCCCCACAUUGUAUAUUUUUUUAUAAUGUUCUCUCUCUUUCUUCUAAAUUUCUUUUUUUUUUCUUCUACAGAGUCUUUAAGAAGACCUAGAUUCUCACAUACAGAGGGGUUAUUAGGACCCACAUUGGAAUGGUAACAGAAAAGUUAUCAUACAUGCUUUGAAUUUGUACUCUGAAAGCUCCAAUUGCCAAAAAGAGCCAAUGGGCUUAAUGCUUGAACAUAGAGAUAGUAGUGUAUUCAAGUGGGAAGCUAAGAAUCUAUCGUGACAAAGGGAUGGCAUUGACACUCUCUUGCAGAGCCUGGUAAUGGUCUUACAUCCGCAUCAUAUCUUAUUCCAUAUAUGUUAAGGAGUCCUAAGUCCCUGCUGAUUGGCAUGAAAAAUUUCCAUGGAGAGUCUCUGUAUCCACAUGCCAAAAAGAGAUGUGUUAGCAAUUAGCACUUACUAAGACUUUGAAAAAAAUUGAUUAAAUAAGUGGUGUUCCAAUAAUCGGGAACAGAGCAAGACAAAGCAGUAGAGCUCAGUCGAGAACCUGGCCCCAGCAGCCAAACUGUUUGGGUGGAAGCAUGCUCUGCAACCUAGUGGUUGUGCAAUCUCAAGCUAGCCAUUCCACCUUUGUGUGCCUCAGUUGACUCAUUGUAAAAUGAGAAUAUUAGCUACUACCUCCUAGGCUUGUCUUCAAAAUUAACCGAGUUCACAUUUAUAAAGUAUGCAGAAUAAUGCCUGGCAUUAUAUAAAUGUUUGUUAAAUAAUUAAAUACUGAAAAUUGAUUAGUCAUGGGUAUCUGCUGAGCUGAUUGGUAUGUUUCUGCAGAAGACCGAAUACAAGCCAACAUUGGUUAAAUCAAUUAUCUGAUAGAUUCCAUGAAUGCAUGAAAUCUGAGGGCAAAUAUUUUGAAACUGGAUAUAUUUCAUUGAUGAAAUGAAUGUCUUCAUUUCAAACUAAGCAUGAUACUUCAGACCCUUAUAAUAACAUGAAGUCACUUAUAUUUUUUUUAUCCAAUUAUGAGGCAUUCUACCUCUCUGUACACACUUUAAUGUCUGAAGAUUAUACAUGUCUUAAAAUCAGUGGAUCUGUUGAAUGUUGUCAUCCCUCCCCCAAUAAGGCUUUAUUUGACUAAUGUUGCAAUGAAAAAAAAAAAACUUGGUUGUCUUUGAAAAAGGAAGCAUGAUUCAUGGGUCCACAGAAGUGUGCUGAAUCUGUACUCUGAGAAGUAUAAAAUCAGUGUCCGGGAAUGAGGUGAUGCUUCACCUAUCCAUUGAAAGCGAGAGCCCCAUGUGCGGUGUCCAGAGCCUUCCCCUUGACCCCAGGGAAUUGGACUUCAGGGCCACAGGGGCUUCCUUGCAUCCCCAAAACACAGGAAUUAGUUACCCUUUGGGUCCAGUAGCUGUGUGUCCCAUCAUCACUGAAUUGAAUUUGGCAUUGGAUUUGCAUUGACAUGAACUUAGAGGUAAUUCCUGUAAGAAGCCUCAACCGUUUUAGAAUCCAGGAAAAAUAACUGUGGCAAGGAUUUGUAACCAGGGAGCCUAUGAACAGAAUCCAAGGUCUCUGCACUUGAAUGGGGGGGGGGGCCCUCAUUUUCACGAAUCCCUAGCUGAAAUUUGGCAUUUCCUUUGGUUAUGAAUAUAGACACCAAAUCAGGUUAGUAUUUAACAUUUGAAAUUGUAACACCCAUGAAAUAUGCCACUAGAUCCUGUUAUUCAGUGUGUUAAUAAGCACAAAUACAACUAGAUCAGAAUUUGUUUUUUGGGGGCGCCUGGGUGGCUCAGUCAUUAAGCGUCUGCCUUCAGCUCGGGUCAUGAUCCCAGGAUUCUGGGAUCGAGCCCCACAUCGGGCUCCCUGCUCAGCAGAGAGCCUGUUUCUCCCACUCCCACUCUCCCUGCUUGUGUUCCCUCUCCCUCUCUCACUGUGUCUCUGUCAAAUAAAUAAAUAAAAUCUUUAAAAAAAAUAAUUUGUUUUUUAACAUUUCGAUAACUGUAUUUCAAUAUACUUUGUUCCUUUGUAAUCCUAUGUCUUUUAUGCUUUUAAAAACAUUAUUCUGAGGGCGCCUGGGUGGCUCAGUUGGUUAAGCGACUGCCUUCGGCUCAGGUCAUGAUCCCAGGGUCCUGGGAUCAAGUCCCACAUCGGGCUCCCGGCUCAGCAGGAAGCCUGCUUCUCCCUCUCCCACUCCCCCUGCUUGUGUUCCUGCUCUCGCUGUCUCUGUCUCUGUCAAAUAAAUAAAUAAAAUCUUCAAAAAAAAAAAUUAAAAAAAAAAACAAAAACAUUAUUCUGAGAUGAAGUCAGUAGGCUUCCCCAGAUUGCCAGCUGGGGUCCAGAGUACUAAAAGUUAAGAACCCUGUUUUCUGGUCCUUUGCCUCUAUGGUCGUUCCAGUUCUCAGCCAUUCUUCUGUUUCUUCCCCGCCAUGUCCCUUUGCCUGUGCUCUGCACAGCUGAGACGUGGACUUCGAAAGGUUCCGUAUCUAUUGCGUCGCUGGCAUCUUUUCUAUAUUUUUGACUCUGGCAACGGAAAUUUUUCGGCUGUAUUAUCUGUGAUUUAUACAUCUUAGAGGAGGAGACUCUCUUUAGCUUUUCUGCCUCUCCAGUACAAUGCUGUCUACAUAGACUUCCAGUGAAAGGUGUUGAUCCAGUGAUUGUUUAUUGGAGAGUUGGCUGCUGUGAAAGCAAGACACAGAGAGCAGAGGACUUGUAGCCCUGGGAGUGGGGAGGAGAUGGGGGAGAGGGUGUGCUUAUGCAAAAUGGUAAUAUGAGGUCCUGAGGGGAGAGCCGGUAGAGGCUGUGAAAUGAGUUGGGGAAAUAGUACAUCGGGUGGAAUAAUAAGGAGAUGGAGAAGUAAUUAAAUUGAGGCUUUCCAGUCUCCUUCUGAUGGAAGCUUCUCCUUAUCAAAAUCUACUUUUGCUCCUGAGAACUGUUCCUAUGUAGUUAAGGAUGGAUUCUUUACCCGUGUCUUCAAUUACUUGAAUUCACUAUGGAGCUUUCAUGACUCAGGGCUUUCUGUGAAGGCUCCCUUACCUCCCAGAUAACUCCCUUAUUUUAGUUCAGGUUGUUGCCAGAAUGUUAUGAUGUGGUGUGUCCACAUUUUAUAUUGAAUAGAGGGAAGUAGGCAGACUCUGGGCUUGUAGGAAAUAUUGCCUAUCUUUGAGGAUUUGGAGGUGUUAGGCAAAGGGUAAAAACCAGUGCAAGAGAAAAUAUUUUUAGGUAAAAUAUCCAGUAACAGAAUGUUUCGUCUUUGUUAAGCCACAAGGGAAAUAUUACAGGGAAAGUGGAUGCAGAAAAGAAUUUAAAGUGAUAAGCAUACACUGCUAUAUCUGUAUAUAGCUAUGCUGAAAUACUAGGUCUAGGGAAUUUAAAAAAUUAUUUAUUCUGGUAAUAGGAGAACCUGGGUUUGGAUUGCCUUGAGACCCCCAAAACAUGUUUUACUUACCACUUAGGAAAGACAGUUUUAAUGAAUGGCUGGAUUUAUGUGGAUUAUAGUCUCUAAAAAACCAACAACUUACUGCUUACAUGUGUAUGUUUCUAAUGAAAACACAAUUCAGAUUGAGGGUAAUCUGAAUUAGGGACAAGAUAGUGUGUGUGUGUAUAUAUAUAUAUAUAACCUUCAAAUACUUUUAAUAACUAGAUCUAAUAUAACAAACUCUUGUAUGUUACUAAGGAUUCUGCUUUAAUAAAUAAAUAGUAUAUCUUAGUCACAUGCCAUUGUAGGUAGAUGUGUUUAUAAAACGCUUUGGGGCUUUUAAGAAAGUCUCUUAAAUAUUUGGAAAAUCAUUUUUAUUUGCAUUAUUGGUUUCCCUAUUGUAUCCUUUCUUUAGAGAAUAUGUUAAAAUUUUGGAUAAUGUUAAACUUAGCUAAAUUAUCACAAAGCCUUAACCAUAAAUCCAUAACAAAAAUCAGAUGGGAUGAAGGAAUACGUAAGCCUGUUGAGAACAUUGUUUUGUCAAAUAUUCUUUCUGUAUCAAAGUUUUUUGUCACACGGACAAUAAAACAACUUAGGAGGUGCUGUAAUUCCUCCCUUUUAUUUGGGACUCCCGAAGUCAGGGUGACCAAGAAGCAGGGGUGAUCAGGUUUUACCAGUUUAUUAAGGAAAGCCCGGGCUAACCCUUUAUAGGAUGAGCUCUCGGGACCUCUGUAGCCUUGAGCUGGAGAUUUUGAUACUCCUUCCCAUGCUAGCCUUAAAAAAAAGCCUUAUUUCACAAAGUCUGGCAAAGCAUUUAAAGUCCAGCCACUUCCCAAAGCUGAAUCCAUGUAUAAAGUCACCUUGGGUUUCUGCUACCAAGACUGGUCUAUGUUAUAGGUAUUUGAUAAGCUGUGCCCCAUUGUGAUUUUGUAUGUUAGAUCUUUGGGUUUGCUCUGUGGGCUUCUGGCUGUGGGAGGCACAUUUUAUCCUAUUAGAAUGUUAUAACUUCUAGUCUAUUUCUCUCAUUUUCUAUAUUGGAAAUAAACAUUCGUGCACAUUCUAACAAAGUAUGCAGUUUAAGAGAAGUUAGAUGGCAUGGAAUAAUUAUCAUAAAUUAAUUUUUACAUAUUUGAUCUCGUAGCCUCCCUGCACCAUUUUUUUUUUUUUCUUCCAGUUAACAAGUUCUGUGACUUGUUUAAGUUGUGAUCUGGACUUCUGAUUUUAGAGGAGAAGUCAGAUAAGUAUAAGCAUUUCCAUGCAAAUCAUGUUUCUAAAAUCAUCCCUAGAGUGUGUGUAUGCCUAGUGGAAUGCAAAGCUUACUAGAGAAAGGAUGGAAUUAGGUGAGCCUGAAGGAAGUAUAAAAAUCCUGUUUAAUGACCCUCUUAGGUUUUUAUAUAGAUGAAUUUUAUUAAAUGAGGAAUGGUAAGCCCGUCUGGAAUAUCUCAUCCCCUGAAUAGUCAGUUUUGGCACUAUAAACUGGGAAGACUUCUAUUGUGUCUCCGCAUAGAUAGCAUUGCGUUAUUGCAAGCCCCAAGGCCCUUUUCCUGAACAACAUAUGCUUGUGUGUGGCUCUGUUUUAUGUGAGCCAAACCAAUCUUAGGUCUCGUAUGGGAGUUUAUUAGUGCGUGUGUGUGUGUGUUGUUUAAGAGAGAUUUUAGGGCCUGGAGUAAUGAGACAUGGCCAGUUAAAGCCAUGUGUUGCUUAAGGAUGUGGUUCAGUGAUCACAGCCUAACUCCAAAUACUUAAGUUUAUCAAAUGCCCUCAUUACAGACCUUGAGUAGUCCAAUGUCUUCGAUGCACCCUUGCCGUGCCUUUCUGCAGGGCUUUACUGCUGCGUGUUCCCUCCUCUCUCUGGUGCUGCUACCUUUAUCCCUUCUCAUGGUGCGCAGUCCCGACCCUGGUACCUUCUGCUUCCCUCCUUUUCUCCAUGUAAAUCUUGUUCCAUCAUAUAGGGAGCUGCCCUUACAGAGGCGCAAGAGAAGUUCUGAGUUUAUAGCUUAUAAAGCGUACCACUUUAAAAAGUUUUAACAAGCAAGAGGUGUUUCAUAACCCAGUAGGAAAAAGAUCUCUAACGAUGAAAUCCAGGCCUAUGGAAAAGGGAUGGGAACCUUAUUGUCACACCUUUGUGCUCUCCCUGUCCUGCUAGGUUCCUUCAUGUUUUCAGGCAUCCCAAGGAGAGCGAGCCUAUUGCAACAUGCUUCAGAGGUAUGGCGUGUUGGUGUAGGAUGUGAUUACGGGAUACCUCUGAUAGAAGGUAAACAAAACCACCAGUGUAUUUUCUCAGCCAUGUCAGAAAUCUGCGUAAAAUGAGCAUUAGAUGAUUAGUUUUGGUGACGGGAUGCUGCCCUGGCUACUUGCUGACCUGGCAUCCUGGAGAGACCCUGGUCCUCCUAGACCUGACUCAGGCUGCAGCUUUGAGCUGGGGGCCUGGUACCAUCCUCAUGGGCAAAUGUAGGAAAUGCCAAAUGGCCUGGCAAGUUCUACUCUGGCCUUUCGAUCCUCGCUGAGCCAUAUGGUGCUAAAAUGUCAAACUGUUCCUGAGUGGGCCAUGAUUGAAGAGCUAGAUAGAGAAAACACACUUUAGAUAAUGGAUCCACUGAGGCUUUUAGUCCCCAGCUACUGGCUUUUUCUUACUUUAACCAACAUUUAUUAGGUAGUGUUUGGUUGAUAGUGGGCUACUUACGUUGUGGGAGAUACCAAAAUAUGCAAUAAAAUAAUCAGAUGUUUCUUACUGGCAAAGGUUGUAUCUCCCAUGGUUCAUGUAAAUUGCACUUAAUAAACUGUCAGUAGAGGGAGGUGAAAUGUAUGAGUGAUUUACACAUAGAAUUUAAUGGGAGGAAACUAUCUUAGAAACUGAGGAAAGAUGAAGAAACUAAGUCCCCCCAAAGAUUGUAACAUCCUUAGGUUGUGUUUGCAGAGAUCUUACUAGAAACUAUGCCUUAUCCCCUUUUCCACUGCAGCUUCUUGGUGCUGUAUUCUGGCAAUUGCCCUUGUUGAUGGAUUGACAUAAUGCCUUGAGAUGUUUACAAUCGGUGUAGGAAGAGAAAACACAAUAGGGACUUACAGAUGAUCCCAAUCAAAACAUGUACAGGUGCUAAGUGAUUGAGGCCAAAGGGAAUGUGGAAGUCCAGAGGGAGAGAGGAGGAGAUGAGUGAUGUGGUUCAGGUGAGGUUAGUCCUGGCAGGCUUCCAAGAGAUGGCUGGGCUUGGGUUUGGCCCGUGUAGCUCUCCUCAGUCCCAGUCGCUGGGCCUUUACGGAAACACGAUUUUCUCAUAGCACAGGAUAUCUGACUGGUUGGAAAGAAGAGAUGUUUGUACUCAGAGAGUUUUUGCCCCUGAUAGUUUACGGGGUCUCAAUCUUUUAGAUGUGUCGCCAGAUGCACAGAAUGGAACAAUAUAUCACAUUCAGUUUAGACCUAAUGAAAAAGACAAGUCAUUUCAUGUACUGGAUAGAGGUGCUAUAGACUUUUUGACUCUAAUGAAUCUUUACUGUCUCUUCAAUUUGAAUAACUCCUUCCUGGGAUGCCUGGGUGGCUCAGUCUGUUAAGCAUCUGCCUUCGACUCGGAUCAUGAUCCCAGGGUCCUAUGAGUGAGUCCUGAGUCUGGCUCCUAUCUCAGCUGGUAGCCUGCUUCACCCACUGCCUGCCUCUCCCCCUGUUUGUGCGCGCACUUUCUCUCUGACAAAUAAAUAAAAUCUUAAAAAAAAAACCCAAAAAACUCCUUCCUGUCUUGAUUUAUAAAUUUUCAAAAAAAUUGCUUUGAUUUUACUUAUCCAUACUUGACCAUAUGUAAGCUCCGCUAUUUGAAUCGCUCUAAACAGCCGUGUUCUCCUGGCAGUGUUGUGACAUUUCUGGGAUUGGGUGCUCAGGAGUAAGCCUCUUUCUGUUGCCACUGGCUGUGGAUGCUUCUUCUGUGCCUGGGAUUUAGCCCAAAGCUUUGCAGUCCCAGGGGGAAGUACUUUUUUUUUUUUUUUUUUUUAAAGGGAGGGAGGGAGGAGGGGCAGAGGGAGAGAGAGAAUCCCAAGCAGGCUCCAUGCCUAGCAUGAAGCCUGAUGCUGGGUUCGAUCUCACAACCCAUGAGAUCAUGACCUGAGCCGAAAUCAAGAGUCAGAUGCUUAACCAACUGAGCCACCUGGGCGCCCUGGGAAUUGCUUUGAGUGGCCCCAAGGAGGUGUCCUUUUUCUUUCUUUAAAACUUUAUUUUGAACUAAUUUUAGAAUUACAGAAAGUUUUCAAAAAUUGUACAGAAUCUCCCCCCAUCUCUCAUUCAUUCCACUUUCCCAAAUGUUAACAUCUUAUAGAACCCCUGCUUAUCUGCCCUCAGAGAAAGCCUUACCUUUGUCCACAGGAAGAGCUGUGUAAGAAUUUGCUUGGUUGUGUGGUGCAUAAUGCAAAGUAAAUAAUAACAAGCAAAUAGAUAAAUACCCUGUGUAAUUUUUAUGUGAGGGAAUGUUAUGUAAUAGUAGAAAUAAACGUCAAAUGCACCAUGUUGAGGAAGUAAAACGAAGUUGAGGAAGGGUGUAUACACUCGGGGUGAGAGCAUUCAGCGCAGUACUAGAUGCUGUAUGUGCAUGUGCAAUAACAGUGUAAACACUGGCACGUACGUGCGAACGAUCACUCAGAAAAUUCAGGCUCCUGGCUGCUUCUCUGAGUGGUCAGGACUGUGUGUGAGCUGUCUGUUGUACUUGGGACAUUUAAUUUUUUAAACUGAAUGGUAGGCACUCAGUGGCUCACUGUAUCAUUUUCUAAACUUCUUCAAUGACUAAAGUGUUGAACUUAACACUUAGAAAAUAAGGAUCAUGCCGGGCGCCUGGGUGGCUCAGUUGGUUAAGCGACUGCCUUCGGCUCAGGUCAUGAUCCUGGAGUCCCGGGAUCGAGUCCCGCAUUGGGCUCCCUGCUCGGCAGGGGGUCUGCUUCUCCCUCUGACCCUCCCCCUCUCAUGCUCUAUCUCAUUCUCUCUCUCAAAUAAAUAAAUAAAAUCUUUAAAAAAAAAAAAAUCUUAAAAAAAAAAAAAAGAAAAGAAGGAUCAUGCCAAAGCCCUGCCAGGCCCUUCACUGGAGAUACACUAGUGAUUCGUUUUCCUGGCCAGGUAGUGCACCUUCAGAGUUGAAAGGUAAAGGAGGGAGGCAGCAGUUGACUAGUUGGCUCUUCUCCGUGGGUGAGACCUUCCCCAUGCCUCGUUUUCUGUGUCACAUUUUCUCUACUUAGUUUCCAUGAUUGCCUUUACAAGCUUCAUACAACGUACAGAAAGGAAAACAAAGAGCCUCAAGCUUUUCAGUAUGAGGACACUAGACACAGAGCACAAGCAGAGGGAGAGAGAGGGAGAAGCAGGCUCCCUGCUGAGCAAGAAGCCGGAUGUGGGACUCGAUCCCAGCACCCUGGGAUCAUGUUCCGGGCCGAAGGCAGCCACCUAACCGACUGAGCCACCCAGGCAUCCCCAAAUCCUGACAUUUUUUAUGUAAUAUAAAUAUAAGGGGUACCACAUAACAGUCACAAAAAAUAGAAAAUGUGCUUAGCAAUUCUCUGUGCCAGUCAUCCAUAGCAGUAUGUGACCCACCCUUCUUUCCUCCUUUUCUUUCUUUCUUUCUUUUUUUUGGUCCUUCAGAAGCAUAGCUGGUAAUAUUCUAUUUUACUUUUUCUCUCUGGUAGAGUCCAGAUUUUCUGGCUCAGAAUUGGAGGCAUGCUACAUUUGCUCCCACCCCAUCUUCCCUACUGUUUUGUUUCCCCUCCAGAUCUUACAGCUGAAUCCCAUUGUGUUUCCCCUUUGAAAAGGAAUUACAAGCUAUUAUAAAUGAAAACUCAGCACAGUGUCCACAUACACACUAGCCUUCUGGGAAAUGUCGGUGCUCUCUGUCUUCUCAUUUCUCAAAUUACCCAUUCAUCUCUGCUUUUCAAAAUGCUAUUCUUCCUUCAAGACCCCAUUUAAAUUGGAUCUCCAAAAAGCCUUGCAUGACCACAUAAACUAGUGAUAAUUUGCCUCUUCUUGAAUCCUAGAGUAUUUUGUUUAUGUCAUUCUGAUGGCAUUGACAACAUUUGACCUUGAACUCUAAUUAUUUCUAUCUGCUCUUUUGUCCUCCACCUGAUUACAAGCUCUGAGGGCAGAGACAAAUCUUUGCCACAUAAUCCUCCCACAGAGGGUUUGACAUACAGCAGGUGCUACAUACAUACAUAUGCGAGUAAGUGAAUGAAUUACUGAAUUUUGUAGCAGGCUUAUCUUUUCAUAUAUGUCUGGAUUAAGCUAAUAAAAAUUAUUCUCUGU